CCUAACCACUUUUCAAAGGCCACAUUUCCUAGUAUCAUGACUUCGGGAAAGAGAACAAACCUGUUUUCUGAGGACCUACCCAUGUACUUUUCAAGGAUUUUCUCACUUAACUCUGCUCAUCUGCUCAGUUGUUGUUGACCCUCUCACUUCUAGCCAAGUGCCUCUCUGUCCACGGUGUCCCCAGGAACCAGCAAUUUUCUCCUGAAAUUCACAGCCCUGAGAAGCUGGCCAGCCCAGAAUGAAAGACAUGAGAUGAUAUCCAAGCUACAGCUGCAGUGUAGUGCAAUUCUGAAGCAUCUAGAGUGUUCUAGGAGUCUGGCACACCAGGAUAUGGACUGCAUUAAAAUCUCUGCCCCCAGGUAGAUCAGCCUAAUAAUGGAUAUAAGGUACAUAGUCCCCAUUCUCCAAAUCCUUAAUUGUGAUUUUUUAAAAAUGUCAUUUUAUGGACAUGCUCUUGACCAUUCAAUCCUAUCCCCAUUGCCUUCUGACAUAACCAUGUUAGACUCCUUACAUGCAUAAACACACACACACACACACACACACACACACAGAUACACAUCUUUUACCUCCAGUUCUUUUCAGGUGCUACCCAUGCCCACUGCCUGACCUCCUUCCCUUCUGCACUCACCAAGUGAACUUAUCUUCAGGAUUGAAUUCAAGCAUCACCUCCCCCAAGUCUUCCUUAUACCACUCACAUGGAUGCAAUAAGUGCAGUGGGGAAGCACUUCCCUCUAUGGCUCACAUCUCACACUAAUCCCUACCUAAGGAGGGCUGGAUAGAAGAGACCUGCCCUCCUCAGGUGGGCCCCAUCUCCAUUCUUGGGUGAGGGAAGCACAUCGCCUCCCUUUUCCCCCCUCUUACCUCCCACCAGUCCUCACCAACUACCAGAGUCACAGCCAUCAUGAGCCAUUAUGAUAGGAAUGCAACUU